rnacentral:tRNA from 2 species
GGGCGCGUAGCUCAGCUCGGUAGAGCAUCUGACUUUUAAUCAGACGGUCACAGGUUCAAAUCCUGUCGCGCUCACCA